rnacentral:rRNA from 1 species
CAUGCAAGUCGAGCGAGAAAGUGACUUCGGUCACGAGUAAAGCGGCGAACGGGUGAGUACAACGUGGAUAAUCUACCCUAAGGUCCGGGACAACCCCGAGAAAUCGGAGCUAAUACCGGAUAAGACCACAGUAUCGGAGGAUACAGCGGUAAAAGAUUUAUCGCCUUUGGAUGAGUCCACGUCCCAUCAGGUAGUUGGUAAGGUAAAAGCUUACCAAGCUUAAGACGGGUAGCCGGCCUUAGCGGGUGAACGGCCACAUGGGGACUGAGACACGGCCCUGACUCCUACGGGAGGCAGCAGUGGGGAAUAUUGGGCAAUGGGCGAAAGCCUGACCCAGCGAUGCCGCGUGAGGGAUGAAGGCCUUCGGGUUGUAAACCUCUGUCAGGAGGGACGAUGGGACACUUGUGUCUUGACGGUACCUCCAGAGGAAGCCCCGGCUAACUCCGUGCCAGCAGCCGCGGUAAUACGGAGGGGGCAAGCGUUGCUCGGAAUUACUGGGCGUAAAGGGUCCGCAGGCUGUCAGGCAAGUUGGUUGUGAAAGCUCAAGGCUUAACCUUGGAAUUGCAUCCAAAACUGCCUGACUAGAGUCCAAGAGAGGUUGGCGGAAUUCCCGGUGUAGCGGUGAAAUGCAUAGAUAUCGGGAGGAACACCAGAGGCGAAGGCGGCCAACUGGCUUGGAACUGACG